rnacentral:tRNA from 1 species
GCCGGCUUAGCUCAGAUGGUAGAGCGCGUGAUUUGUAAUCACGAUGUCGGGGGUUCGAGUCCCUCAGCCGGCGCCA